rnacentral:rRNA from 1 species
GACAUAGGUGGCAAGCGUUGCUCGGAAUCACUGGGCGUAAAGCGCACGUAGGCGGGCUCUUAAGUCGGUGGUGAAAUCCUGGAGCUCAACUCCAGAACUGCCUUCGAUACUGAGAGUCUUCGAGUCCGGGAGAGGUGAGUGGAACUGCGAGUGUAGAGGUGAAAGUCGUAGAUAUUCGCAAGAACACCAGUGGCGAAGGCGGCUCACUGGCCCGGUACUGACGCUGAGGUGCGAAAGCGUGGGGAGCAAACAGG